AAGGAGCUUCCGGGGUGGUCCGCUGGACCUGAGAAUACACUCGUGAACCUGAUCCGGAUUAUACUGGCGUAGGAACGAGGCUCUACCCCGGAA
rnacentral:ncRNA from 2 species